GACGAACGCUGGCGGCGUGCUUAACACAUGCAAGUCGAACGGAGAAGCGCCUUCCUUGUUGGUGGGUGUGGAUGAGUGGCGAACGGGUGAGUAACACGUGAGUAACCUGCCCCCUCCUUCUGGAUAACCGCAUGAAAGUGUUGCUAAUACGGAAUAUUCUGGGUCUGUCGCAUGAUGGGUCUGGGAAAGUUAUUGUUUCGGUGGGAGAUGGGCGCGCGGCCCAUCAGCUAGUUGGUGGGGUGAUGGCCUACCAAGGCGGCGACGGGUAGCCGGCCUGAGAGGGUGGACGCACUCGCAGGGAGUGAGACUCCGGCCACCCUCGGGCGGGAGGCGGAGGUGGGGAAUCUUGCUGGAUGGACGCCUGCCUGAUGCAGCGCCGCCGAGUGAGGGAUGUCGGCCUUCGGGAUGUCAACCUCUUUCGCGAGUGAAGCAGGCCUGCCUAGUUUGUGGGUGGGUUGACGGUAGCUGGAUAAGAAGCGCCGGCUACCUACGU
rnacentral:rRNA from 1 species